rnacentral:rRNA from 1 species
UACAGAGGGUGCAAGCGUUAAUCGGAGUUACUGGGCGUAAAGGGCGCGUAGGCGGUGAAUUGGGUGUGGUGUGAAAGCCCCGAGCUUAACUUGGGAAUUGCGCUUGUGACUGGCGUGCUGGAGUGUGGCAGAGGGAGGUGGAAUUCCACGUGUAGCAGUGAAAUGCGUAGAGAUGUGGAGGAACACCGAUGGCGAAGGCAGCCUCCUGGGCCAGCACUGACGCUCAUGCACGAAAGCGUGGGGAGCAAACAGG